UGAUGUGUGGCUCAGUGUUAGAGUGCUUGUUUAGCAUGCACGAGUCCCUGGGUUUGAUCCCCGGCACCACUA
rnacentral:tRNA from 1 species